rnacentral:lncRNA from 1 species
ACCCCAAUCCUUCUCCCGGCCGUACACCAUUUCGUUCCGACGCGAGUAAUUCCUCCCCACGGGCGGCGACUAGGGCGGCUAGGGUUCGUCGGGCGCCGCCGUGCCGGAGAUCGCCUCUCGCCGCCGACACCCGGAUCUCCGCCGCCGCCGGUCGCCCCAGGUUAUCCCGCUCCCGCAGUCACCAUCCCGUCUUCUCCGCCAGUCGCCUCACGCCCGGCCUGGACGCCCCGGAAUCCAUUGUCGGUCUCGCCCCGCCGACUGCCGUUGACGCCACUGGCUGAAGGUAAUAAGCCGCUCACCUCUCCCUCUCCCCCUCCCCCUGCGAGCUCAUGGAUUUAAUCCAUUCGCUCGUGCGUGUUCUCCGUACUUGGGUGAACUAAACCUAGUUCGUGUUCUCCCUACUUAGGUGGAGUAAAAUAGUUGAACGUUUGUUCUCUGUACAACAACUGUCACCUAUCUUCUCAUUUAGGAGCUUCGAUUUAUCCUAGAAUGAACGGAACCAGCGGUUUUGGAUGAGUUCAGUACUGUGGUACUCUUGUUCUCGUGGACGAUUUAGAGGAGCCACUCCUGUUGAGAAGAAUUAUAUUUCAUAGUUCCCCGAUGGUAAUGAAUCACUAGAGCCCGUAUUUUGCUAGUAUAUAUUGAUUAACUUCCACAAAUGUGAAGGAUAAUCAUGGUGCAUAGUUUUUGUAUGUCAAGUUUUCUCAAUCAGGUGGCAGCUGUAUUGCUUGCUAGUAAAAAUGUUGUGCUGAUUGGUUGUUUUUAAAGGCGAUACGCAGAUUGGUUGCUUUUCUUAGAUGAAAUUCUGAUUGGUUGCUAGACAAGCAGUUUGCCCUUCAAAUGCUAUGGCCCACCUGCAAACGCCCUAGAGUGCUUUGGUGCUCUAAUCUAAAUGACCUAGGAAAGGAUUAGGAUGCUGUUGCUUAAGUUGUUUGGGCUGCAAUGGAUACAAGUUAGUUAGGGCUGGAAAUGAUGAUCUCCAUUUUCAGAACAUAUAAGGCUGGGAAUGGGCCUUGGCCUGUCACCAGGCCUUCAAAUGGAGAAUAGACAAACUAUGUCGACUUAUUAGUUGUGUUUUCUCUUGCUCUUCUUUUGUCUGUAAGUGUUGGGUGUUCUAUUUGUUUUUAUACGGAAUUAAUUGCACGCAAAAAACCGAGUGCUCACUU